GACGUAGGGCGCGAGCGUUGUCCGGAUUUAUUGGGCGUAAAGAGCUCGUAGGCGGUUUGUCGCGUCGACUGUGAAAACCCGAGGCUUAACCUCGGGCCUGCAGUCGAUACGGGCAGACUAGAGUUCGGUAGGGGAGACUGGAAUUCCUGGUGUAGCGGUGAAAUGCGCAGAUAUCAGGAGGAACACCGGUGGCGAAGGCGGGUCUCUGGGCAGUAACUGACGCUGAGGAGCGAAAGCGUGGGUAGCAAACAGG
rnacentral:rRNA from 1 species